rnacentral:pre_miRNA from 1 species
UAUUCUUGUCCUCUUGUCCAGGCUUUAACAAUACAUGCUGGACAAGUGGAAAAGAAUGCC